GACGAACGCGGCGGCGUGCCUAAUACAUGCAAGUCGAACGAACCGCGACUAGGUGCUUGCACUUGGUCAAGGUGAGUGGCGAACGGGUGAGUAACACGUGGGUAACCUACCUCAUAGUGGGGGAUAACAGUCGGAAACGACUGCUAAUACCGCAUAGGACAUAGGAUCACAUGAUCCAGUGAGGAAAGGUGGCGCAAGCUAUCGCUAAGAGAUGGACCCGCGGUGCAUUAGCUAGUUGGUAGGGUAAAGGCCUACCAAGGCGAUGAUGCAUAGCCGACCUGAGAGGGUGAUCGGCCACAUUGGGACUGAGACACGGCCCAAACUCCUACGGGAGGCAGCAGUAGGGAAUCUUCCGCAAUGGACGCAAGUCUGACGGAGCAACGCCGCGUGAGUGAAGAAGGUCUUCGGAUCGUAAAGCUCUGUUGUUAGAGAAGAACAGCGCAUAGAGUAACUGCUAUGCGUGUGACGGAU
rnacentral:rRNA from 1 species